rnacentral:rRNA from 1 species
UACGUAGGGGGCAAGCGUUGUCCGGAUUUAUUGGGCGUAAAGAGCGUGUAGGCGGCCAGGUAGGUCUGCUGUGAAAACUCGAGGCUUAACCUCGAGCUGUCGGCGGAAACCAUCUGGCUAGAGUCCGGAAGAGGAGAAUGGAAUUCCCGGUGUAGCGGUGAAAUGCGCAGAUAUCAGGAAGAACACCCGUGGCGAAAGCGGCUCUCUGGAACGGUACUGACGCUGAGACGCGAAAGCGUGGGGAGCGAACAGG